AAACAGCGAUUCUUCUGCAGUGAAUCACUUCCAGAAAUGAAUAGCCACAGUUUUUUGGAAUGAACGUUGUGAAAUCCCUCCUUUAUAAUGGCAGGUUUUCAGUUGGUGGUUUUAUCAGAAUUUCUCAAGAUCAAAACGAAACCUUCUCUUUAAAAAGGAAAGAAAGUACUAUCGAUACAGAAAGCAAAAGUAUUUCCAGUCUCCUACUGAACUGUCACGGCAGACCUCUCUGUAUCUAUAUUUAGAGCUGUAUGUCCAUAUAUCUGCCUGAAUGUGUGAGUUCUUGGAAGUAUGGAUUCAUUGCCAGGAGCUGGUGAUUUCCUAUGCAGAGGUCGCUAACUACCAAGAAAUGUUACACUCGGACAAGUCCUGCGCUUGGGGAUCCUCUGUACGCCCGUUCACUGGUGCAGGUCUUCUGAACAAAUGCCUCCUGAGGAUUUCUGUGCCUGGAAAAUAUCUGUUAACAGACUGCUUUUACACCUACCUAUUUGGUGCUACUUCUACUCCUCAGGACCAAAGCUGGCUUUCAUGGUUUACUCAUGUACUUACUGAUGAAACCCUGAGACUUGGGGCCAGUGACUGUUCAGAGGUCCAUAUGAAGAUGUGCUGAAUGGUAUAAAGGACAGAGCAGUAAAGAGUGCUGGCUGAAUGCCUGGGCUGGCAAUCAGGCAUGUUGGAGUUUGAGUCCCGGUCUGCCACUCCAGCUCUGUGACCAAGAGGAAGUGAAGUCAUGUGCCCUUUCUAAGUCUCUAGCCCCUCUUCGGAAAGACGAAGAUGCCACCACCAACCAUGUUAGUGGUUGUGAAUGCCAAGAAAGUCCGUGUGAAGCACAUAGCGUAGUGUCUGCCAUGCACUUAAGUGUUCCAAAAAUGGAAGCUAUGACUAUUUCACAGAGUACACUUCCCAUCACUUUUCAGUUCAUUUUGGCCUUCUCCCUCAAAAGCACUCCAGUGUUCUGAUCCAGCUGAUAAAACAGCAAACAUUCACACAGUGCUUUAAAAGUGACCCACUGUUUUUAUGGACUGCAUUACAUAUGACCCUAACAACCACCACAGUAUAGAAAUUCGCAUCUCCAUUCUCCAGAUCAGGAUACUGAAGCUCAGAAAAAUUAAAUGAUUUGCCCAGGAUCACACAGCUAGUAAGCAGCCCAGCCAGAGCCUGUGUUAACUUGUUCAUCCGCUUCCUAUAAGAAAACAUCCAUUCAAGGCACAUGGGGCAACAAAGAAGGACUUAGAGCUGUGUGGCCCCUCGUCAGGGCAGUACCAGUUGCACCCAUAGUCCGGCCUGAAUACUCAGCUUAGGACUAUUGUGUCCAAUGUCCCAGACAUUUUGAAGCUACGUCUUAAAGUGUCCUGCUCAGAUGCAGUUCUCCUUGUGAAAUCCACAGGCCCCAAGGGAAGUGACUUUAAUCCAGUUUGCUCAUGCAAGAACAGACUGGCAUUUCACAUCCAGGAAAACAAUGGAUUUGUACUGUUCAGCUUUUGCCAUGCAAGGAGUUCCUGGUGUGGUUUAUUAAUUUACAUCUCAGGCUCCAGCUUCACUAUCAAUCAGAUUUGGAAGAAAAAAGUUACAAAGAAAGGCAGCUUGCUGAGAAACAGUGGAAGCAUGACGGUACAGACUGGGUUUUGAAAUGGAGACACAUUCUUAUGGCUUGUGGGCUGAGAGACACUGAGAAAGGAUUUUGUUCUUGAAAGAUGAUUGUUUUAAUGCUGGAGAUGAUGGAGAGUUUUGACAAUUUUAAGUGCAUGUUCUGUGUGUAAGAAAGAGUCAUUACGUUUUUUUUUUUUCUUUCAGAUGUUGCCAUGCCUUAAAAUUGCUGAUGAUUAAAAUAGAACAUCCUGAGUUACAGAAAUUCAGCCCUAGUGUAUCCUGGCCUAAAAAUACAGAACAAUCAAGUUGAUUGUUGGAAAUGAGAGGCUAGGGAGGGUUGGAAACAUGCUAAUGUUUACUGAGUGAAAUCUUUCCUUCUCAGUAGAGUUGCCCUUGCAGCUGAAAGUCACUGAAAGACUCAACAAAAUAAGCGGAUCCCACUUGUCUCACUCUGUUCUCCUAUGCAUGCCCUGGAGACAGAAUGAAUGAGCCCUUUUUAAUUUAUCAACUGGUUUUCUUCCAUCUCCUUACUAGUGAUCCAUGGGGGUUUUUUGCUGUUAACUGGGUAGCCAGUCUCUUCAUGGAGACUUAUUUUCAGGAAACUAGCCUCUUGCUUUAUGUGAAAACAGGGACCCAACUCAAGAUGUCUAUCACAGUGUGUUCUGUUGUGUAACAGUUGCAUCUGUAGUCCAGCCUCAAUACUCCGGUUGGGACUGUUGUGUCCUGAUGUCUCGAACAUUUCAAAGCUACAUUCUUAAAGAAACGUCCUGCUCAGAUAGAGCUCUCCUUGUGAAAUCCUCAAACCCCAGGGGAAGUGACCUUAAGCCAGUUUGCUGGCUUUUCAUGUCACAGAAAACAAUCGACUGCCACUACUCAGCUCUUGCCACACAGGAGUACCUGGUGUGGUCACUGCUUACCAACUCAGUACCCCACUUUCUCCCCAAGGACAUAAAAGCAAUGUGGGAAGAUAUAUGAAAUGACCUUGUCAAAAUGGGCUAAUAUGAAGAGCCCACAUAUGCAAAAUAAUGUAUCAUACCUUUAUUCUUCAGAAUUUUUUUUUUUUUUGGAGACAGUCUCACUCUUUCGCCCAGGCUGGAAUCCAGUGGUGCGAUCUUGGCUCACUGCAACCUCUGCCACCCGAGUUCAGGCGAUUCUCCUGCCUCAGCCUCCCAAGUAGCUGGGAUUACAGGCGCCUGCCACCACGCCCAGCUAAUUUUUGUAUUAUUAGUAGAGAGAGGGUUUCACCUUCUCGGCCAGGCUGGUCUUGAACUCCUGACCUUGUGAUCCACCUGCCUCGGCCUCCCAAAGUGCUGAGAUUACAGGAGUGAGCCACCGCGCCCAGCCUUUUUUUUUUUUUUUUUUUUUGAGAUGGAGUCUGGCUGUAUCGCCCAGGCUGGAGUGCAGUGGCACGAUCUUGGCUCACUGCAACCUCUGCCUCCCAGGUUCGAGUGAUUCUCCUGCCUCAGCCUCCUGAGUAGCUGGGAUUGCAGGCAUGCGCCACCAUACCCGGCUAAUUUUUUUGAAACAGAGGCUUGCUCUGUCACCCAGGCUGGAGUGCAAUGGCAUGAUCUCAGCUCAGUGCAACCUCCGCCUACUGGGUUCAAGCAACUCUCCUGCCUCGGCCUCAGCCUCAAUACAGGCAUGUGCCACCACGCCUGGCUAGUUUUUUGGUUUUUUUUUUUUUUUUGUAUUUUUUUACUAGAUAUGGGGUUUCACCAUGUUGGCCAGGUUGGUCUCAAACUUCUGAUCUCAAGUGAUCUGCCUCCCUCAGCCUCCCAAAAUGCUGGGAUUACAGGUAUUAGCCACCACGCUCAGCCUUCUGCUGAAUUUUUGAGAAGCAUACAUAAAGACAGUGUAAAAAACUUAGCAUAUUUGUUUGGCCCUGCUAAGGGCAUGGUUGACUAUAUAGUGUGUGUGACGUAUUUGGUGUAUGAGAUAUAUAUGACCUUAUCAGACAUAAGUAAAAGAAAGAAAUUCAUUCUUCAGGGAAAAUUUUCCCCAUAACUGAAGUGUCAAUGAUUUGAAAAAACUUCUAGGCAGUAGGCAAACACUGUGACUAGUUAUUUAUCAAAAAUAAGCAGACUUUGGAGUUUUGUAACUGAUGAGAAUAAUCUGGCUGCUGCUUUUGUACUUCAGUCACUGAAACUGCGAAUUAGAGUAGCAUAUACAGAAGGAUGCAGGGGGGUCCCUAAAGGAAUCACAGAAUUAGUGAAACCAUUAUUUGAGAGUUGCAGUGAUUCUUCUGUCCUGGCACUUUUCCCAGUUUUGGUGCUUAAAUUUACUAUCCACUUGAAAUGUGUCACUGCCUGUCACUUCACAAAGUAUGUGCCUUUCAUUGCAGUCAACAAGCUGUUUACAUCUUUGAUGAAAUGAUUGCCACACAUCUCCAUAGCCCUGGUGUUCUAUUCCCUUAUUCACAGAGAUUUUUUUAAAAACCAGCCUAGUAGCAAUAGGUAUGUGCUGUGGAUGCUUCUCCAUGAUAAAGGAUGAGUUUGUGCUGGGAUCUCCUUAUGAAAAGAUAACUGGCCAAGCCCAUGAGGAACCAGAAUGUUAUGUUAAUCAGACCCAAGGUAAACAGCCUGCAGUGCACCUCCUGACUGAUUAGCACUGAACCCACUUGGAAUCAUCAACGACAGGCACGUGGUAAUCGGAUGUUCUUCUAAUACACAUAGUGAGACUGUAAAAUGAGGAUGAUAUAUGAGGAAAGUCAGACGGAGAAACUAAAGUUCAGUUCUUAAAUAUAAGCCAAGGGAACAGACUAAGUGAAUGGUACAGCCAGGAUUGGAGCCUGGUUUUCACAAGGCGGUAUGUCACAAUAAAACAAACCAAAGAAAAGGUUGGGUAGUGUUUUGAGGCUAAAAGAGACCAAAGAGUCUUAGUGAAUCAACCUUGAUGCGAUGUGGGUUUGAAAAACCUAUAAAAAACCUUUUGUUUGGAGAAAGUGGGAGAAGUUGGAUGUAGGCUGGAUGUUUGUGGGUACUAAGGAAUUGUUUAUUUUCUUAGGUAUGGUAAGAUUUUGUGGUUAUGUAGAAGAGUGUCUUCAUUUUAUAGAAUGACCUCAAAGUAGUUAGGAGCAGUGUAUGUAUGGGUGGUUGUCAAUUUACUUUCAAACAAUACAGCAAAAAAUAUGUAUCUAUAUUACAUAUAGAUAACAUAAUUAAAGCAAAACAUGGCAAAAAGGAAUAGUUAUUGAAUUCAGAUAGUAAUGGAUUUAGGAAUUCAUUGUAUUGUCAUUCCAAUUUAAUGUAUAAAAUUUUUUAUAACAGUUUAUAAAAACAGUGCAUACCCCUUUAAUUAGGUGGCCUGGGUACAUGAAGUAUCUUUUUGGAUGCCUAGAACACAAAAAGGGAUGACAACAGACCACCUAAUAAGAUGAUAUCAAGAACUAUACCGUGACGGGGAAAAAGAACUGUUGCAAAAAAUAAUUUGCCAAGGAGAACUCAGAGUACAAAGUCUUACCUUUGGAGUAGAGGGAAGGAGAGUCUUAAGUGAAGCUCACAAAAACCCCUAACUAAUUCAUAGAUGCAGUCUAAGGAAUUCAUUCCGGAAGUGACAUUAGCAUCUCAUUAGUGCCAUUAUGUGACUUGGCCUCUGAGCUAGUCUAUUUUCUUCCCUAGACCCCAAAAUCUCAGUAAUCCUUUGGAUCAAACAAAGUUAUCUCCAAGUGAAAAUAAUAGGUUUAGGAAAGCAUUUUUCUUCAACUUCUAUGGAGCACUUGCUUGCUUUGUCCUAUUUACAUGUCCGACGGACGGUUCUCCAGCACCACUGCUAGUCGUCCUCCGCCUGCCUGGGUACUUGAUCACAGGAUGCCUCUGACUUCUCCUGCCUUUACCCAAGCAAAGGAUUUUCCUUGUCUUCCCACCCAAGAGUGACGGGGCUGACAUGUGCCCUUGCCUCUAAAUGAUGAAGCUGAACCUUUGUCUGGGCAACUUAAGAAUAAGGGAGUCCCAGGCAUGCUCCCCCAUCAAUAACAAAUUCGGUGACAUCAGUUUAUGAAUAUAUGAAAUUUGCCAAAGCUCUGUUUAGACCACUAAGUAACUCACAACUAGGUUUCAACUUUUCCUUUCUAGGUUGUCUUGGGUUUAUUGUAAGAGAGCAUUAUGAAGAAAAAAAAUAGAUCAUAAAGCUUCUUCAGGAAGCUGGUUUCAUAUGGUGGUUUAGAUUUAAAUAGUGAUUGUCUAGCACCAUUUGAAAUCAGUGUUCUUGGGGGAGACCAGCUGCGCUGCACUGCCAACAGCAAAAGAAAUGAAUGGGACAGCUCUGAAGUAUUUGAAAGCAACAGCAGGACGGCUGUGAGAACCUGCCUCACAUGUAGCUGACCCCUUCCUCACCCCUGCCAACAGUGGUGGCAUAUAUCACGAAUGGCAGUCAGGUCUCUGCACUGGCGGAUCCAACUGUUAUCGAAAGUUUUCCAAAAAUAAGUUGUGUCUGUAUUGAACACGAACAGACUUUCUUGUCAUUAUUCUCUAACAAUACCGCAUAACAAUUAUUUGCAUAUCAUUUGCAUUGCAUUAAGUAUUCUAAGUAAUCUAGAGACGAUUUAAAGUAUACGGGAGGAUGUGUGUAGGUUGUAUGCAAAUACUACACCAUUUUCUAUCAGAGACUUGAGCAUCUGUGGAUUUUGGUAUCCAAGGGGCUUUCUGGAACCAAUCCCUCAAGGAUACCAAGGGAUGAAUGUAAUUGUACAGGAUAUCACAUUGUUGGAAUUUUAUACUUCUUUGUGGAAUAAACCUAUAGCACUUAAUAGAUAGUACAGACUCAUUUCAUCGUGCCUGGGUUAAAGGGCCCAAUGUAUGCCGGAUUUAGUAAGGUUUGGGCCCUCCCAACCCUCACGUCCUCCUGUGACCCCUUAGAGGAU
rnacentral:lncRNA from 1 species